rnacentral:rRNA from 1 species
UACGAAGGGGGCUAGCGUUGCUCGGAAUCACUGGGCGUAAAGGGCGCGUAGGCGGCCGAUCAAGUCAGGGGUGAAAGCCUGUGGCUCAACCACAGAAUGGCCUUUGAUACUGUUCGGCUCGAGACCGGAAGAGGUUGGUGGAACUGCGAGUGUAGAGGUGAAAUUCGUAGAUAUUCGCAAGAACACCAGUGGCGAAGGCGGCUCACUGGCCCGGUACUGACGCUGAGGUGCGAAAGCGUGGGGAGCAAACAGG